rnacentral:rRNA from 1 species
ACGGGGGGUGCAAGCGUUGUUCGGAAUUAUUGGGCGUAAAGCGCGUGUAGGCGGUUUGUUAAGUCUGAUGUGAAAGCCCCGGGCUCAACCUGGGAAGUGCAUUGGAAACUGGCAGACUUGAAUACGGGAGAGGGUAGUGGAAUUCCUGGUGUAGGUCUGAAAUCCGUAUAUUUCAGGAGGAACACCGGUGGCGAAGUCGGCUUCCUGGAUCGAUAUUGACGCUGAGACGCGAGAGCGUGUGUAUCAAACAG